UCCAGCUCUCUAUAUAAGUGUCAUCUUCCCAGCUGCCAAGAACUGUGGCCGGAGGCUUCUCUUGUUUUAGUUUUUUAGCGUUCAUUCAUAGUUUAAACCUGCUGAAUUCCACCUAUUUGAUUAUUUUCUUCUCGAGUUUGUUUCUCAAAAAGCUAAGAGGGACGGUGACGAUUUCAUCGUGAAAAAGGUCUCGUUCGUCGUAAUUGGCUAUUUGUUUAUAGCCUUGCCGACCAUCCUGAUAUAUCACCACCCAUAUUCCGAGUCCCCUCUUUUUAUUUUUUAUUAUCAUUUUUUUUUAAGCUUUAGAAAACGGUUUGCCAUUGUUAAUCUGGUGACCUUAGUUUUCUCCUCCUUUUUAUGAAAGAUCUUUUUCGUUUUUUUUUUUGGGUUGAUCCAUUAAUUGGCCUAUGAUUAAAUUGGUUAAAUAUAGACAAGCAUAUGUCUGAAUUUAUACAUGUCGAGUAGACUAAUCUUCUCUAUGAGGCCGAUUGCAACCCAUUUUUCCUGUUAAUUGUUUCUGUAUUUUCUUUUUCGGGUUGUAAGAUUAUUUCAUAUUUUCUCAGCCGAUGAAGAAACGAACGGUAUUUCCAUAGCGUAUGAGAAUUCCUGAUUACAUAAUACCACUACUGCCUUCCUUCUGAGGCAAUUCAUGUUUUCUCCUAUAGUUUUUUUAACCCAUUUGGUGCUUUGAUCUGUUCGGUGGGUUUUCAUUUGAUUUCACUUUUGUUAUUUUCUUGUCCAAACCGGCCUUAUAUUCAAAUAUGCAUUUGUUGUUACAGGAAAUGCUUAAAAGCGCAGAGUUCAUAGCUUACAUGUUCCGUAUAAGCUGAGAAACCCUACUGCAAAGGCGUUGCGUUCUUCAUUGGAGUUUCCAUACCAGAGGGGCGCGUCAACGAAAGCAUAAAUCAAGUUCAAUCCACUGCUCAGAUGCAGUUUUCAUUGCAGGCUGUGCAUUAAUUUGAUGGUCGUAGCUUGCUUUCGCAUUGGAUUGAGCCAUUUGUUUUAUGAAAGUUUUUACCUAGUGCAUAAAUGUGUGUGCGAUUUGUGAAAAUUAGAAAAAUGUGAAUGUUGCUUCUUACUGGUGAAGUCUCUCUGACUGAAAUUGGGAGAUGUUCUAGUUUCCGAAGCAUAGAAUAAUUGUGCCAGUAUUAAACAGCGCCGUGUAAUUCAUUGUUCUUGCACUGUGUUACCUGUCUCCUGGUAUAUUCUAUAAGAAAUCUACCAGUAAAUCGUAGGGUUUUAAUUUGUGAGAUGUUGCAGUGAGAGUGACAAUUUAUAAGAAUGGUCUCGUUCGGCAUAAUGGCAUGAUGACCAUCCUGAUAUAUCACCACCCACAUUCCGAUUUCCGUCAA